GAAGCAGUUGGAAGAGGCGAUUCGAUUCGAUUCGGUAGCUCCACUUCUCCACUCCCGAGUAGGAAACUAAUCCCUUUGCUUCAUGGACUCGCAACCUUCUUCUGCCUUUGCCAUCAGGAAGCCGCUCAGAAUUUUCUUUCUUUUUCUCGGGUUAGGUUUUUCUCUUAUACAAAUCAACCAAAAGAUGGAAGUAGCUUCAUUUUAGAUUCAUAAAGGAAAGAAGUAUGAGAUGAUGAUAGAGUCAGUUCAAGUGAGAAGGGGCCCUAUCAAAACUGUCGGCAGAGGGCAGCUAAGGAGGAGAGUUCCGAGUAGAGUGGAAGGGCCAUUCAUUUCUUUAUUCAGCUUUCAUUACGCAUAUAGUGACCGUUCGUUCGAAUAAUUGAACUCCAAAACUUUCUAUGAUUGGAUUACUCCGAAUGGUCUGUGCUCUGUAGCUCACAAUAUCAAACUAGAGUCCAAAAUGAAUGCAGAGAAUGUACUAUUGAUGUGGAGGAAUCACCUUCUUCAAUUAGUUGAAAUGUUCUGGUCAGGAUCUACAGUGUUCGUGGACUUCAAAUCCCGUUCAAAAUAAAGAUUUCAAAUCAUGAGAUCUUUUAGAAGAUAUGGUUAAUGAUAUGUACUUCACAGGCAAAAUUCUCAUUUCAUAUUCAGCAGAGAACACUAACGUCAACGUGGCGGGGAGGAUGGCUUUUUAUUUCCUUUUUUGUAUAAUGAUUCGGACUCUAACGCAAUUAUGUAACCAAUUAUUGCUAUUCUUCUUUUCCCAUUAGUGAUGUAAUAAAAAGGUUUCUUUUCUUCAA